rnacentral:lncRNA from 1 species
AGGAUGAAAAGGAGCAAAAUUUGAUGAUGGUUAAUCUCAUAUGCUCUAAUCUUGAAAAUAAGACUAAUAGCAGAACAACAAUAUUUUACUUUCCCUCGUUUGCAUUCGCGGUAGUAUAUAGAUAUUUGUUUUCCAAAUCUUACUAUCUGCUUUUGUUUAUGUUUUGUCUCUACUCAGCUCUCAAGGUCUUCACUUCUUGCUGAACUGGUAGGAUAUUCUUAUUAUUUGAAGCACAAUGCUUUGAUCUGGCUUUCUGUAUUGUAACGAUUCAGUUCUCUGUAGU